rnacentral:rRNA from 1 species
ACAUGCAAGUCGAACGCUUCUUUUUCCACCGGAGCUUGCUCCACCGGAAAAAGAGGAGUGGCGAACGGGUGAGUAACACGUGGGUAACCUGCCCAUCAGAAGGGGAUAACACUUGGAAACAGGUGCUAAUACCGYAUAACAAUCAAAACCGCAUGGUUUUGAUUUGAAAGGCGCUUUCGGGUGUCGCUGAUGGAUGGACCCGCGGUGCAUUAGCUAGUUGGUGAGGUAACGGCUCACCAAGGCCACGAUGCAUAGCCGACCUGAGAGGGUGAUCGGCCACAUUGGGACUGAGACACGGCCCAAACUCCUACGGGAGGCAGCAGUAGGGAAUCUUCGGCAAUGGACGAAAGUCUGACCGAGCAACGCCGCGUGAGUGAAGAAGGUUUUCGGAUCGUAAAACUCUGUUGUUAGAGAAGAACAAGGAUGAGAGUAACUGUUCAUCCCUUGACGGUAUCUAACCAGAAAGCCACGGCUAACUACGUGCCAGCAGCCGCGGUAAUACGUAGGUGGCAAGCGUUGUCCGGAUUUAUUGGGCGUAAAGCGAGCGCAGGCGGUUUCUUAAGUCUGAUGUGAAAGCCCCCGGCUCAACCGGGGAGGGUCAUUGGAAACUGGGAGACUUGAGUGCAGAAGAGGAGAGUGGAAUUCCAUGUGUAGCGGUGAAAUGCGUAGAUAUAUGGAGGAACACCAGUGGCGAAGGCGGCUCUCUGGUCUGUAACUGACGCUGAGGCUCGAAAGCGUGGGGAGCAAACAGGAUUAGAUACCCUGGUAGUCCACGCCGUAAACGAUGAGUGCUAAGUGUUGGAGGGUUUCCGCCCUUCAGUGCUGCAGCUAACGCAUUAAGCACUCCGCCUGGGGAGUACGACCGCAAGGUUGAAACUCAAAGGAAUUGACGGGGGCCCGCACAAGCGGUGGAGCAUGUGGUUUAAUUCGAAGCAACGCGAAGAACCUUACCAGGUCUUGACAUCCUUUGACCACUCUAGAGAUAGAGCUUCCCCUUCGGGGGCAAAGUGACAGGUGGUGCAUGGUUGUCGUCAGCUCGUGUCGUGAGAUGUUGGGUUAAGUCCCGCAACGAGCGCAACCCUUAUUGUUAGUUGCCAUCAUUCAGUUGGGCACUCUAGCAAGACUGCCGGUGACAAACCGGAGAAAGG